CCUAAGUCUCUCUCUAACUGACUUCAACUCAUCAUUUACAUCAUUACCAUUCUCUAUAUCUUCUUCCCCAACAUUAGAAGCUUCAUCAUCUGCUUUACUGCUACUUUCUUCAACAGUGUAAUCUUCAUCUACACUAUCAUCAUCCUCACUACUAUCACUGUCAAUAGUCGGAGCAACACUUAUAUUCUUUCCCUUUUCCAUAUUUGCCCUUUGCCUUAAGUGGACAAUACCCUUAUUUCUAUUAUUUUCCUCAUUCUCAAG
rnacentral:lncRNA from 1 species